UACGAAGGGUGCAAGCGUUACUCGGAAUUACUGGGCGUAAAGCGUGCGUAGGUGGUGAGUUAAGUCUGUCGUGAAAGCCCCGGGCUCAACCUGGGAAUGGCGAUGGAUACUGGCUCGCUAGAGUGCGGUAGAGGAGAGUGGAAUUCCCGGUGUAGCAGUGAAAUGCGUAGAGAUCGGGAGGAACAUCAGUUGCGAAGGCGGCUCUCUGGGCCUUACCUGACGCUGAGGAGCGAAAGCAUGGGGAGCAAACAGG
rnacentral:rRNA from 1 species